AGAAAAUGACACAUCACAGUACUUUGUGAACCUUCUCUUUUUUCUCAUCUAGGUCUUGCCUGCACCAAAGGCCUUGAUGUGACCAAACAGCUAUUACUGUCACCCUGGACGACUCAUCCUCCAAGCAGAUUUCAGGCAUUUCCUUGACAGUGGCUUCAAGAGUCUCAUGUUAGCAAGUAAUGCCUGGCUUUGUGGAAGACAUGGAGACUCCCAAAUGAAGAUGCAUCCCUAGGAGUUGGCUGAGGUAGAGCACCGGAUAUGGAGAAACUCAGAAUCAGAACCUGAAGCCCAGAAGGUUGCUUCUAAGUCUGGAUACACCUGGGCUAGUGUCUCACACACAUGCACAUGUAGACUACAGAAGAGGGGACUUAGCUGAGAGAGAGACUAAGAGCACAUAGGGUGUCCUCUAGGGACACAGUGUGGUGUCUUUCCAAUACGCAGAGAAAUCGUGUGUUUGCCCAGAAUGGAUGUGCUUCGAAGCAUGUAGGACAAGGGGAGAAGACAACGUGUCCACCAGGAGGAGGAGCUUAGUGUGAGUGACAUUCAGCUGUGUUGGAUGCUCCCAUCCUCACACUGCCAUAUGCAUUGGGUGUCAUGGUGAUUGAUGGUCCCUGAGGCUACCAUGGAUCUAAGGGUUGUUGUACUUGGUCCUGAAGCCACAUAAUGACGUUUCCUCACUAUCUGAGCAUCAUGGAUGAAACUGGGACUCCACUGCUUUCACAGGGCUUCCUUGAGACAGUGGUGGCCUCCUGAACCCAGAGGCAUAGGCAGCUGGUUUUGAGUUCCCGUAACCCAUUCCUGGAGGACUUGUCACUGACUCCCCAGGCAGGAGGCAAAGGGUGGCUGUCAAAUUCGAAGGUGCUCAGUGAGCAAACAGGGAGGCUUGCCUGCAAUCCCUGGUGACCAGGGACUUCCACACACAGGUUUGUGUUUCUUCUGGGAAGUCCCACAUAGGACAGGCUAGAGGCUCAAUAUUGAAGCUUGGAAGUAACACAGUAUGACCAACCUGGUCUGUUGGCUGUGGAGAGAACCAGGAACUGCUGGACCUGAUUCAGCCCUAGGCACAGAGACCAAUAUUUGGGGUUCUCUCAGAGGG
rnacentral:lncRNA from 1 species